rnacentral:lncRNA from 1 species
UAAUCUGGAGCUCGAAAAGUGAAAUACUUCAGUCCCAUAAAUCAGCACAUUGCUUUCUUCCAACAUGUUCAAUUUGAGAUCAUCCUAGAGUGACAUGCUUAUGAUCAUAGAAGAUUUUGUUAUAAUAUAAUUCAACCAACACACUGUUUUCAGAUGAUUUAAGAUGCAACUUUAGUGGAUUUGAAUGACCCAUGGAUGUGUUCUUGGAUGUUAUUCCAGACUAUCACGACUUUAGCUUUUGGCAUCGUCCGAGGCUCUUCUAUUUCAUUAGGCUAUUGUUUACUCAACUUCUAGAGGGGAAAGAUAAGGGUUUGAUCUUCUACCCAUUAUCUGAAGCAAAAGAGGAGAGAGAACUAACCAAAUAAGCAUCUGAUUACUGAACACAAUUGUUUGUAAAAUUUUGAAGAUCAUCUUCCGGUUUUUUCAGAAUAUAUAUACAAGAACAAUAUCCUAAAUCUGAAGACUAUAUCAUCUUGUACAUGAGAAUACAUUUGCAUUAUUACAAGAAACCGCAAAUUUUUGGACAGCAUAUAUAUCAGAUACUCACCUUCAUCUAAGCAGUCUAACAUUAUGAACAUCUAACAAUUUUGAUGCUUCCUGAGUAAGUAAACGGGACUCUCUAAAUAAAGGCAAAGCGUUUGGAUAGAGCUUCAAGAUUGCCUUUUUGUAGAAACUUGAACAUUUCCUCAUCACAAACGAGCGAGUAGAUAAACUUACAGGUCAGACUCCAUGGGAUUGCUUGUUGCUGCUAGUUCACGACAUGCCAAAUAUAGUAAAUAUGCACCUUUAUUUUUGCUUCAAAAGAAAAUAUACACAAGGGCAUAGUCUUCUACAAGAAAAGAAUAAAUAAAUUGUCUUCCAAAAAAAGUGUCAUGAAUGGGGUCAUCAUAAUAAAAGUUCUUGGUCAAACCAACUUUCUUCAAUUAUAAUAUUUUAUGUGUAUAAAACUACUCUAAGCAGUAAGCCACGAUAAUUAACUUAAUCGUCACCAAGUAAUCUUACCCAAAAGAAGCGCAAGUAUCUAAUCAACCUUGAACUAUAUGCCGAGUUUUGGUGGCAAUCUCAUGACACAUUCAUCUGAGGAAUAGGCAUACGUUAUUCUUUCCAUAUACAUUGGAAACAAGUGAAAAGUGAGAAAAAAAACUAUCGUUAUAUAGAGAGAGAGAAUAUCAUGGUCUUGGUCCCGUAAAAAGGAGCUUAUAGAAGAAAGCCCUAACAGAAUGAGAACUCAAACUCAAUUGCGAUUACAAAAGACAAGAAACCCACUUAAGUAUUGUUAUUUACUUUUGGUCAUUACCAUUUCACUUCAGAAUAGUCUUGGGGCUAAAGCCACUUCAUGAAGUGGAAACAUGAGAUGCGAGACUUCAUUGAAAAAGUUUCCUGAAUGGUUUCAUCACAAAAGUCUGUGCGUUCAAACCACAUUUCUUCAAUUAUAAUAUUUGUAUGUGUAUAACUACUCUAAGCAGUACGCACGAGAAUUCAACUACUCGUUCACCCAAGGAAUAGGACCAAAAGAAGCGCAAGUAUCACUCAACCUUGAAAUAUGAUGCAGAGUCUGGUGUGCAUCUAUGACCUUCUAUCUGGAGAAUAGGCAUAGGAUUCUUCCAUACAUUUGGCAACAAGGAAAAAGUGAGAAAACAACUAUCGUUAUAUAGAGAGAAUCUCAUGGUAUGUCCCGAAAAAGGAGCUAUAGAUAGAGAAAGCCUUAACAGGGGGGGGGGGGGGAAAUGUUUUUUUGAGCUCAAAAAUCAAUUGUUGCAUUACAUAGAAGACAAGGAACCAAUUAAGUAAUUUAUUUUAACUUUGUAAUUCCAUUCAAUUCAGAAAUAGUUUCUUGGGCGAAAGCCCAUUUCAUGUAGUGGAACAUGAGAUGUCGAGACUUCAUUGCAAGACUAACAUUCCAUCUCCGAUGCUAUGUCAGCGGACUUCAGCCGGCAAUCAAAAAUCCACAUAUUCAAAUGAAUAGUAGAUUCCAAAAAUAUUAAUGAAGACUAGAAACAGGAGAAUUCACCCUGAUGUCAAUUCCUUUAUAGAACCACCACGAAGAAGAAGCAAAAGACUUUCUUUUUGUCCAGAAUGUGGAUUGCCUGUUUUAUUCUUUUGGUAAUUACCCAUUCACUUCAGAUGGUCUUGGGCUAUAAAAGCUCACUUUCAUGAAGUUGGAACAUGAGUGCGAGGACUUCAUUGCAAAGACUAAAUCUCCAUCUCCGAUUGCUUGUCCAGCGCCUUCAGCCUGCAAUCCAAACAAAACAUAUCAAAAUGAAUAGUUAGAUCCAAUACUAUUAAAUGAAGACUAGAAACACGAGAAUUCACCCUUGGAUGUCAAUUCUUUAUCGAAAAAACCCACAACAACGAAGAAAGACCUUUGUCCGAAUGUUAUUUGCCUUUUUUAUCUUUUGGUAUUACCAUUUCACUUCAGAAUAGUUCUUGGGCUAAAAGCUCACUUUCAUGAAGUUGGGAACAUGAGAUGUCGAGACUUCAUUGCAAAGACUAACAUCUC